GGUAAGAUGGCUGAGAGUAAGCAUUAGACUGUAAAUCUAAAGACAGGGGUGAUACCCCUUUUUACCA
rnacentral:tRNA from 1 species